GACGAACGCUGGCGGCGUGCUUAACACAUGCAAGUCGAACGGAAAGGCCCUGCUUUUGUGGGGUGCUCGAGUGGCGAACGGGUGAGUAACACGUGAGUAACCUGCCCUUGACUUUGGGAUAACUUCAGGAAACUGGGGCUAAUACCGGAUAGGAGCUCCUGCUGCAUGGUGGGGGUUGGAAAGUUUCGGCGGUUGGGGAUGGACUCGCGGCUUAUCAGCUUGUUGGUGGGGUAGUGGCUUACCAAGGCUUUGACGGGUAGCCGGCCUGAGAGGGUGACCGGCCACAUUGGGACUGAGAUACGGCCCAGACUCCUACGGGAGGCAGCAGUGGGGAAUAUUGCACAAUGGGCGGAAGCCUGAUGCAGCAACGCCGCGUGCGGGAUGACGGCCUUCGGGUUGUAAACCGCUUUCGCCUGUGACGAAGCGUGAGUGACGGUAAUGGGUAAAGAAGCACCGGCUAACUACGUGCCAGCAGCCGCGGUGAUACGUAGGGUGCGAGCGUUGUCCGGAUUUAUUGGGCGUAAAGGGCUCGUAGGUGGUUGAUCGCGUCGGAAGUGUAAUCUUGGGGCUUAACCCUGAGCGUGCUUUCGAUACGGGUUGACUUGAGGAAGGUAGGGGAGAAUGGAAUUCCUGGUGGAGCGGUGGAAUGCGCAGAUAUCAGGAGGAACACCAGUGGCGAAGGCGGUUCUCUGGGCCUUUCCUGACGCUGAGGAGCGAAAGCGUGGGGAGCGAACAGGCUUAGAUACCCUGGUAGUCCACGCUGUAAACGGUGGGUACUAGGUGUGGGGUCCAUUCCACGGGUUCCGUGCCGUAGCUAACGCUUUAAGUACCCCGCCUGGGGAGUACGGCCGCAAGGCUAAAACUCAAAGGAAUUGACGGGGCCCCGCACAAGCGGCGGAGCAUGCGGAUUAAUUCGAUGCAACGCGUAGAACCUUACCUGGGUUUGACAUGGAUCGGGAGUGCUCAGAGAUGGGUGUGCCUCUUUUGGGGUCGGUUCACAGGUGGUGCAUGGCUGUCGUCAGCUCGUGUCGUGAGAUGUUGGGUUAAGUCCCGCAACGAGCGCAACCCUUGUUCACUGUUGCCAGCACGUUAUGGUGGGGACUCAGUGGAGACCGCCGGGGUCAACUCGGAGGAAGGUGGGGAUGACGUCAAGUCAUCAUGCCCCUUAUGUCCAGGGCUUCACGCAUGCUACAAUGGCUGGUACAGAGAGUGGCUAGCCUGUGAGGGUGAGCGAAUCUCGGAAAGUCGGUCUCAGUUCGGAUUGGGGUCUGCAACUCGACCUCAUGAAGUCGGAGUCGCUAGUAAUCGCAGAUCAGCAACGCUGCGGUGAAUACGUUCCCGGGGCU
rnacentral:rRNA from 1 species